AUACGGGGGGUGCAAGCGUUGUCCGGAAUCAUUGGGCGUAAAGCGUUCGUAGGCGGCAAGGUAAGUCAGAUGUUAAAGCCCGGGGCUCAACUCCGGUUCGGCAUUUGAUACUAUCUAGCUAGAAUGCGGUAGAGGUAAAGGGAAUUCCUGGUGUAGCGGUGAAAUGCGUAGAUAUCAGGAGGAACAUCGGUGGCGAAAGCGCUUUACUGGGCCGUUAUUGACGCUGAGGAACGAAAGCCAGGGGAGC
rnacentral:rRNA from 1 species